CCUACGGGAGGCAGCAGUGGGGGAUAUUGCACAAUGGGGGAAACCCUGAUGCAGCGACGCCGCGUGAGUGAGGGAGUAUUUCGGUAUGUAAAGCUCUAUCGGCAGGGAAGAAAAUGACGGUACCUGACUAAGAAGCCCCGGCUAACUACGUGCCAGCAGCCGCGGUAAUACGUAGGGGGCAAGCGUUAUCCGGAUUUACUGGGUGUAAAGGGAGCGUAGACGGCUAAUCAAGUCAGAAGUGAAAACCCAGGGCUCAACUUUGGGACUGCUUUUGAAACUGGGUAGCUGGAGUGCAGGAGAGGUAAGCGGAAUUCCUAGUGUAGCGGUGAAAUGCGUAGAUAUUAGGAGGAACACCGGUGGCGAAGGCGGCUUACUGGACUGUAACUGACGUUGAGGCUCGAAGGCGUGGGGAGCAAACAGGAUUAGAUACCCUGGUAGUC
rnacentral:rRNA from 1 species